AUUUGACGUUAGCGACAGAAGAAGCACCGGCUAACUCCGUGCCAGCAGCCGCGGUAAUACGGAGGGUGCGAGCGUUAAUCGGAAUUACUGGGCGUAAAGCGCAUGCAGGUGGUUGUUAAGUCAGAUGUGAAGACCCGGGGCGUCAACCUCGGAAUUGCAUUUGAAACUGGCAGACUAGAGUACUGUAGAGGGGGUAGAAUUUCAGGUGUAGCGGUGAAAAUGCGUAGAGAUCUGAAGGAAUACCGGUGGCGAAGGCGGCCCCCUCGGACAGAAUACUGACACUCAGAUGCGAAAAGCGUGGGGAGCAAACAGGAUUAGAUACCCUGGUAG
rnacentral:rRNA from 1 species